AGAUGACAGUGAUGGCUCUGGAAGCUAACCAAGAUGAUAGAAAUGGCUCUGGAAGCCUAAACGAGAUGGUAGUGAUGGCUCUGGAAGCCUACACGAGAUGGCAGAAAUGACUCUGAAAGCCUAAGCAAAAUGAUGAUAAUGACUCUGGAAGCCUAAACAGGAUGAUAGCAAUGGCUCUGGAAGCCUAAACAAGGUGACGGUGGUGGCUCUGGAAGCCUAGACAAGAUGAUAGUAAUGACUCUGGAAGCCUAAGCAAGAUGAUGAUAAUGAUUCUGGAAGCCUAAACAGGAUGAUAGCAAUGGCUCUGGAAGCCUAAACAAGGUGACGGUGGUGGCUCUGGAAGCCGAAACUAAAAAGUGACAAUGAUGACUCUGAACGUCAAACUGAGAAGUGAUAACGACUCUGAACGCCGAAACCGAGAAGGGGACUCUGAAUGUCGAUCUGAAAACCGAUGAUAGCUCUGAACGCCGAAACUGAGAAGUGAUGAUGAUGACUCUGAACGUCAAACUGAGAAGUGAUAACGACUCUGAACGCCGAAACCGAGAACGCGACUCUGAACGUCGAUCUGAAAACCGAUGACGACUCUGAACGCCGAAACAGAGAGAAGUAGUGAUGAUGGCUCUGAACACCGAAGCUGAGAAGUGAUAACGACUCUGAACGCCGAAACCGAGAACGCGACUCUGAACGUCGAUCUGAAAACCGAUGACGGCUCUGAACGCCGAAACUGAGAAGUGGUGAUGGCUCUGAACGCCGAAGCUGAGAAGUGAUAAUGACUCUGAACGCCGAAACCGAGAACGCGACUCUCAACGUCGAUCUGAAAACCGAUGACGGCUCUGAACGCCGAAACUGAGAAGUGGUGAUGGCUCUGAACGCCGAAACCGAGAACGCGACUCUGAACGUCGAUCUGAAAACCGAUGACGGCUCUGAACGCCGAAACCGAGGAUGUGACUCUGAAUGUCGAUCUGAAAGUCGAUGAUGGCUCUGAACGCCGAAACUAAGAGAAGUAGUGAUGAUGGCUCUGAACACCGAAGCUGAGAAGUGAUAACGACUCUGAACGCCGAAACCGAGAACGCGACUCUGAACGUCGAUCUGAAAACCGAUGACGACUCUGAACGCCGAAACUGAGAGAAGUAGUGAUGAUGGCUCUGAACACCGAAACUAAAAAGUGAUGGUGAUGACUCUGAACGUCAAACUGAGAAGUGGUUCUGAACACCGAACUGAAAAAUGUGACAUGAUGACUCUGAAUAUCGUAAACCGUGAAUGAACGGCGGCUCUGAACGCCAGACUGCAAGGAAACAAUGUGGGGGAAAUAUGCCCCAGUGUGGCAUGCCGCUGCAAAUCUCAAACUGCUAUAAAUGGCUAAAAGGGGCUCUACGAGUCUCGAACGAUGCACCACUAAGCGAUCAUGUCA
rnacentral:lncRNA from 1 species